GACGAACGCUGGCGGCGUGCUUAACACAUGCAAGUCGAACGGAAAGGCCCUGCUUUUGUGGGGUGCUCGAGUGGCGAACGGGUGAGUAACACGUGAGUAACCUGCCCUUGACUUUGGGAUAACUUCAGGAAACUGGGGCUAAUACCGGAUAGGAGCUCCUGCUGCAUGGUGGGGGUUGGAAAGUUUCGGCGGUUGGGGCUGGACUGGCGGCUUAUCAGCUUGUUGGUGGGGUAGUGGCUUACCAAGGCUUUGACGGGUAGCCGGCCUGAGAGGGUGACCGGCCACAUUGGGACUGAGGUACGGCCCAGACUCCUACGGGAGGCAGCAGUGGGGAAUAUUGCACAAUGGGCGGAAGCCUGAUGCAGAAACGCCGCGUGCGGGAUGACGGCCUUCGGGUUGUAAACCGCUGUCGCCUGUGACGAAGCGUGAGUGACGGUAAUGGGUAAAGAAGCACCGGCUAACUACGUG
rnacentral:rRNA from 1 species